rnacentral:rRNA from 1 species
AAUGAACGUUGGCGGCGUGCUUAACACAUGCAAGUCGAACGGAGAUGUUAGCAAUAACAUCUUAGCGGCGGACGGGUGAGUAACGCGUGGGCAACUUGCCUCUAACUGGGGGAUAACACAGGGAAACUUGUGCUAAUACCGCAUAACAUCACUGGGUGGCAUCAUUCGGUGAUCAAAGGAGUAAUCCGGUGAGAGAUGGGCCCGCGUCCGAUUAGGUAGUUGGUGAGGUAACGGCUCACCAAGCUCCGAGCCGUAGCUGGUCUGAGAGGACGAUCAGCCACACUGGGACUGAGACACGGCCCAGACUCCUACGGGAGGCAGCAGUGGGGAAUCUUGCGCAAUGGGCGAAAGCCUGACGCAGCGACGCCGCGUGAGGGAGGAAGGCCUUCGGGUUGUAAACCUCUUUCAGGAGGGACGAAGCUACUCGGGUGAAUAGCCCAGAGGGUGACGGUACCUCCAGAAGAAGCCCCGGCUAACUACGUGCCAGCCGCCGCGGUAA